CAAGAGACCCUUACAAUGUUAGAGAGUGCCAAUCAGAACUUCACCACUCGUUAUAAAGGAGGACUACAGCAAGUGGCAUCAGCUUUUGGGAUUGUUGGUUUUAUCAGAUUCCUUGAAGGCUAUUACAUUAUUCUCAUCACCAAAUGAAAACUUGUUGCUAAUAUUGGUGGUCAUAUAUUGUAUAAGAUUGAAGAUACUGCCAUGCACUGUCUGUCAGCUCCUACUGGUAGACCAGCUCAUCCUGAUGAAUCAAAAUACGUUAAAAUAUUUCAAAAUGUUGAUCUAUCGUCUAAUUUUUAUUUCAGGUCAGUAAUAUUUAUAAUA